GAGCCAAAUUGGGGGCAUAUUCAAGUAUUUCGCACUUACUAACCUAUUUAGCUCAUGACGAUUCUAUUUAACAGGAAGAAAGAGUGGUUGAUGUUAUAGUUUUACCUGUAGUAAAAAGGUAUUAUGUAAAUUAACUUUAAAAAGUGCUCAACACAUACCAAACCAUGUGAAAUUCAGAUUAUUAAAUAUUCAUGUUUCCUUACUGUGGUACAGAGUGCGGGGAAGUAGUUGUCAAACAGUGAUGAUGUUUCCCAGUCUCCUUUCAUUUACUCUGUGUAGGACCCUGUUUCUCCUUCUUGGCCAAUAUGAGCAGAACUGGUGUGUGUCUAUUCCUGACAAGGAAUUUAAUAUGGUAAGGGCUCACCAUGUUUUGUCUUUACCUUCUGCAUCACCUGGAACCUUACGGGUGAGUCUGAGGGCUUUCCAAGAUGGAAGGAGUCUGCAUCCCUGAGCUGUUCUUUGGAGCCAAAGUGCACAGGAGGGCUGCCCCACUAGGAAUGCAACUGCCAACCCACCCUUGGUUUCUUUGUGAUAGCAUUUAGCCCACCCUGCUUGCCAUUAUUACUAUCACCAUUAGAAUUGUCCCCUUCUCAUUAACUGGUCACUUUUAAGAGCAAAGAAUGGACACUUGAAACUCCACUGUUAAAAUGAAGCCAUUCCAACCAAAGAAACUUUGCAGCUCAGGGAACUCACUGCAAUGUCUCUAAUGUCUGAAGUUUUGGUCAAAAGAAAAAAAAACAUCAUUCUGGAUGUGUUUGUUCAUUUUCUUCCCAGCCCCCUUCCAAAUAACAAAGUGAAGAGUCUAUUUCUGCUGAAGUGCUUGGAAAUGACACUCUUGUUGAAGAUUGCUGGCUUUCAGACUGUGACUCUCAGCUGAAGAUAAGGGUGGCAGUUAGGCCUGGCUGAUCAAGCUCACCUAGCCCUUAUAUCUGGGCAACAAAUGGGUCAUAAAUAAUUCGAGAACAUGUCCACAUCACUGAGCUAAGCAGAUGAGAAACUCAGACAGCAAUGUAAGUUCAUAACUUUCCAAUAUUCUCUGAAGAAAGAAAAACAGAGAAGUGAGUAGUCUUCCAUCUUUAAAAAGAGAAGUGCAUGGGGACCUAGUGUAGAAGUAAAGUUAUUAAUUUGGGCAAACAGUAGAGGAAGACCAAUGGAAGAGAAGGUAGGUGAAAAUACAGAAUAGCAAUGAAGUACAGUAAAAAUAAUUCUUACCAUACCUCACCAAUUAUGUUCCAGUGAGGCAGGAGGCUAUGCAGUCAUGAAUGUGUAGGUAAAUAGUUUGAAUAACAAGAAAAAAGGUUUGGAACUCUUGCUUUGGGAUUACAUCAGAUCCCUUUAGAGGAAGUCAAGGGCUGCUAAACUGUAGGCAGACCCAAACUGAGAUUAAAAGGAAUCAACCUGAAAUGGACAUGACCAUCACAAUUCUGUGGCUCUUUUUCAGCAACAGUGGCUGGCAUGGAGCCAAACCAAAGUGAUAGACUGAACAACGGAUGACCUGGGUCAGCACGUGGGGUGGAUGAGAACGUAGAAGGUUACAGCUGGAAGGAAAACCUCGUACAGCAGAAGGAUGCAGAGUCGAUCUAUACACUUCUGUUCAGGUUGCCAGGGGAAAUAUUGUGAAAGAAAGGGAAUAAAGGAAGAGAUUCUUCUUCUUCUUUUUUAAAUCUUUUUAGGGCCAUACCCACUGCAUACAGAAUCAGAGCUCUAGCUACCGGCCUACACCACAGCCACAGCAAUGGUGUAGGGAUCUGAGCCUCGUCUGUGACUUACACCACAGCUCACAUUAACACUGGAUCCUUAACCCAUUGAGUGAGGCCAGGGAUCAAACCUUCAUCCUCAUGGAUACUAGUCAGGCUCAUUACCACUGUGCCACAAAGGGAACUCCAGGAAGAGAUUAUUCUUUUAAAUACAAACUUGGCCUUUAAGGAUCUGGCCAUCCAGUGGGUAAAAGAACUAAUCAUUACCUUGACUAUUUCAGAGAGCAUUUGAUUCCAAGGGAAAUAAAGCCACUGACAUAACCUUAAGCUCACAGGGAAUUUACUAUAAGGGCAAGGGUAUAGCUCAUAGAACCAAAGGGCCGGAAGUAUAAUUGCUCUUCAAUAAGUUCUAGAAGCAGGAAUAGCAAUGCCCCAGGAGGAGGGUAUAGGAAAGCUCUACCUCAUCAUGUCUUAUUUUUAUUGAGUCUCUCAUAGCGUUGAGUCAUCUUUACUGGCAGUCUUGUUUCCUCUAUUCCCUGUAUCUUCUCACUGAUGCUUUAACACUUCCAGUUAAAAAUUCAACCAAAAUAAAUUAGUAUUACUAUAUACUGAUAUCAAAUACUAGGUGGCAAACAUGAUCAAUUCAGCCAUGCCAAGGAAUCAAUUCCCUCUGGGUCAGAUAUCCACCCUUCAGCCAAUGAACUACAGCCAAGUGUUUCUGUGUUAUGGUUACAUCAUUCAAAACACAAGGGGAUGCAAAUGGGGCAGAGACUGAAGAGGAAGAAAAACUGUGUUCAACAGCUCAGUCUCAGAGGGAGAAUACUGGUGAAUCUUUUAUCUGUUCCCACUGGAAAGCAGUGGGUACUUGAAGUCAACAAUUAUGCACUAUUGAUUGCACUAUGCACCAGGAAGUAGUGUGCUUUCAUGGGUGAAGUAGCUUAGACUGAGUUUCCUGAAUGUGAAGACUGAGGCAAAGACCUUGAGGCAGAUAAUUUAUUUAGGAAUGUGGUCCCCGGGAGGACAAAGGAGGGUCAAGGACAUGAAACAAGAGAGGAAAAGCCACCUGGUCAUCAAUCCUGAGAGACUUUCCAAAGAGCUUCAUGAAAUAGUUCUCAAAACUGUCUCCCCAGGGAAUAGGUGGGUGAACCAAUUUACGUAUCAGUCCUGACGCCUUCAGUCAAGAAUGGUCCCCCUCAGUACUUCCUCCACACUUCCAGGUGUGUGCACAGCACGUUUCACUCUUUAGUGACAGAGAAUCUCCAGGACAGGAAGUGAAAGGUAUUCAGUGCUUGUUUAGGUGAGAUGCUAUCAGGUUGCACCUGAUGAAUCUGGUCCAACCUGCAUGAAACUGGUUGCUGAAGCAGUAGCUACAUAAAAGUUAAGGCUAAGAGAAUUUGAAGUAGUUUAUAAUGUGGGCCCAGGACAAGAAAUGCUGAAAAGUAAAUGGACUAUGAGAUCAGGCUGAAAGAUUUGAUCUUAUCUUUAUCUGUACUGGUUCUUCAUUAAUGUGACCUUUCAUCAGUGCUUACCAUGAAUAAAGUAGGAUGCUGAGAAAUAAAGGUAGGAUAGAGAGAGGAAGAAAGAGAGAGAAAGAACACUAGAAACAAGAACCCAAAAGAGAAGAAAGGAAAUAUUUACUGGCCUCCAUUUGCUAUCAUGCAUAUUAUAUUCAGAAUCACAUUAAUUUCCCCAACGGCCUGUGGUUUGAAUAUUCAUGUUUCCAGUUAAAUAUAAACAAAGCAAAUUGCAGGUGAGUAAAUAAUGUGUACAAGUUCAUUUGACUAGAAUUAAAAUCCAGGGUCACUUCUCCACACUUUUCCUUCAAAUGUUAAUUAGACACUGCUCCUGUCUUCAAGAAAUCUGCUGUCUACCAAGGGAAAAAAAAAUAUUAAACACUAACGAUCAUGACAUUAUAGGGGAAUGAUCUGACCACUGACCAGAAGAAAGAUAAUAACUGGACUUACAUUUCUAAGAGUUGGGUGGAUAUGCUUCAAAAUAUUGAUUACACCUGUAGUUAGAUGACUGUAGGAAACCUAGGGUGCAAAGCACACAGACGAGUAUUCUUUCUUGGCUACCAUUCAACACAAUAUUUAUGAACAUUUUGAUAGGUGCAGCUAUUGUGAAUUAUAGGGAAGAGUGAGAAAGAAAGGAUAUGUUCAACUUGAUGAGCCCAGUUGAGUUGCUGCUAGGCUGGAGACCUGGCAGAAUAUCAGGACUGGGAUCUUGUAGGCAACAAACAUAGUAGAAUUAGGGUGGAGAGUCCAUAAUUAUUUACGGCAGUAAAUGGGGAAGUUAGUCAUUUACAAGGUUAAGAUUUGCUUGCUUAGACUCUGUUUUCAUAUAGAAAUUUAAUAUUUGCACUGUGCUUUACAUGUUAAUGAAAUCGAUUCCCACAAAGUUGGCUUUGGGGAUAUGCACAUAAGGAUUACUGGGGCCGCUCAAGACUGUAACUAUUGGUUUCUCAGGUGGAGUCAUGCCAAAGCAGCAUGACACAGCACAGGGAUACUAAGCCUGGGAAGAGCUCACAGCUGAGGUUAAAGAAUGCAGCCUCAUCAUGGCUUUCUCUAUGUACCUUUCUCAGAAAUAGUAUGAGCAAAGCAGAAGGCAAUAGACUUGACAGUGGGUGAUGCAGGGCAAGUUGUUGAGAGGAUGGGUUGAAAAAGCCAACCUGAGCCACAUAUUUCUGUAGAUAGAUGGUGAGAACCAUUGAUCAAAGAUUUUUUCCUCUCCAAGCUCCCAAACCUAUAGUCAUAAACGCAAAUACACACACAGAACACAAGACACAUGGAGACACACAUUUAAAUAAGAACUUUGACAAACAGAGACAUAGAACACUGUAGAGAUGGAAAUUCUCUGUUGGUAGACAUCCAUUGUUCUUGGGACCAAUGAGAGCUACCAUUAAUCAGUCCUGGUGACAAACCAGGCUUUUCUUCCACUUAAUGUUCAAAACAACUCUUUGAGGUGAGUAUUUAUUAUGCUCAUUUCACAGAUGAGGAAGCUUCAGCUCAGGGAGAUUAAAUAACUUGCCCAAAGCCCUCAGCUGGUAAAUGAUAAGACCGAAAUUCAAUUCAUGUCUCUCUGAUUGAGAGCUCAGAUUUUCCCAGUGUGUACAACUGCAAUCCCCUUUCUGACCCUGCCUUACAUUGGUGUACUGAAGAGAUUUAAAAUUGAUCUAUUAGUUUGUCUGUUCUGUUUCACCAGACGGUAAAAAUCUCUACCUUCAACCAUAAUGCCAGAUCAAGACUGAAAAUUGAAAAAUCUCUAUAUAUUUUUCACCUAAUUUCUUACUUCCUUCUAUUUUAUGUUUAUAUUAGUUACUCUUAAAGGAUUAUAAGCUAAUUUUUUGAAACAUGGAUCAUGGUACCACUGCCCUAAAUUUUUCAUUCAUUUAUUCCACAAACAUUUAUUAUAUUCAGCAUUGUACCAGAUGCCUAGGACACACAAUGAAUGGGUCCCUAAUUCCAAGGAGUUGAUUGUACAAAUAAGCCAAAAAGAAAAGGAGACAGAAAAAGAUGCAAACCAGAAAGAGUGUGAUAAAUAUCACAUUAACAGUCCAUACAGUGUAUUAUAAGAGCACAGAAAUCCCUGCUAAACCAAAAAAAGAUACCUUACGGAGUUGACUAAAAAAGUUUUUUGGACUUAGCAAGUAGAAGGAAUGAUCUGUUAUUCUUUGAGAUGGGAAGGUGGCAGAACAGAGCAGGUCGUGACGGUGGGUGAGGUGGAAAGAUAACUUACAUGUUCAGCUUGAGUUGUCUAUAAGACUUCCAAAUAAAGAAGUAAAACAGUUGAAUAUUGAAUCUAGGAGUUGGGAGAGCGAUCUUGACUCUUCAUCACCUUGAUUUUGUUUAAAGCCUGAUAUUGGAUGAGACCAUCAAGGGCAUAAAUGGAUAAGGAAAGAGAGGAAAGGACCACACUGAGCCUGGGGUAGCCCCUGAGGGAGAGGUCAUGAAGACAAGGCACCAACAAAGGAGACCAAGAAAAAACUACCAGCAAAGCAGGAAGAAACUCAGUUAGAGCCCUGGAAAAACCUAAAGAACAUGUAUCUAAGAGAAACAAAUCACCAGUGUCAAAUGUGGCCUAUGAAUCAAGUAAGAGGAAGAUUGAGAACUGACUACUGGACUUAGCAGUUUGGAGGUCAGUUGUGACCUUCAAUUUCCAUAGAGCAGUGUGGAGAAAUCCUGCUUAGGGUGUUUUUAUAGAAAAGGAGGAGAGAAAUGGAAAACACUGAGAAGAGACAAAUCUUUCAAAGUUUGAUGUAAAGGGGAUGACAGAAACGGGAUGAAGACUCACAGAAGCAGAGUCAAGUGAUCAUUUUAAUACAGAAAAAUAAUACAUGAUGCUAUAUUGAUUGGAAUGAUCCAGUAGAGAGGAAUUCUUAUUGAAUAUGUAAAAAAUAGAGGAACAAAUUGGCAAAGUAAGUUCCUUUCUAGGAGAUGUGUACAGAGACAUGAUAUGAUGAGUUUCUGUUUGCUUUACUAAAGAUGGAGAAGGAAACCAGUUUAUUUGGCACCUGCCAUAUACUAGCACCAUGCAACUGCACCAUUCACUCUUCCAAACGAUAUUUUACAGCAGCUCUCUCAGACUGUCCCUGAAGCUCAGAAAGAUUAAAUAUCUUGAUCUAGUGAACAGCAGAGCCAGAACUUGAAUCCUCA
rnacentral:lncRNA from 1 species